AUGUCAUAUAAUCAUUUGUCUUUUGUAUAUUCACAGGUAUGAUAGUUGGUGCAAUGUGUGCAAUUACUGGUGUUAUGACAAUCUCACUCCCAGUUCCUGUUAUUGUAUCUAAU
rfam:Schistosoma rodhaini strain Burundi genome assembly, scaffold: SROB_scaffold0001645